UCUUUUAAUUUGGGACUGGAAUGAAGGGUUAGACUAAGAAAAUUUGUCUUAUGAUAAUAUUUUGAAUUUCAUUUUUUAGUAAAAAAGCUAAAAUGAAUUCUAGGGACGAGAAGACCCUAUCAAGCUUUACAAAUGAAAUUAUUUUUCUUUAGUAAUGUAAAUUUGUUUAACUGGGGCAGUAAAUAAUAAAAAUAUUGUUUCUAUAUUGUGGGAUUGAUCCUUGCAAAACCAAGAAAUUUUUAAAAAAGAAUAAGUUACUGUAGGGAUAACAGCGUAAUUUUCUUUAAGAGUACUUAUCGUCAAGAAUGUUUGCGACCUCGAUG
rnacentral:rRNA from 1 species